AAAAAGAAAUUUGUUAAAUCAAUUUAAUUUGAAUUUAAAAAAUUAUUAUUUUUAUUUUUAAAAAAAAGAAUUUUUAGUUUAAUUAAUUUUAUUGAAUAAAUUAAAUUUAUUAUAGAUUAUUAGUAUUGUGAAAGAAAUUUUAAAUAUAUUGAAAAUUUAAAUUUAUUAAAGAAAAAUUUAAUUUUUGUACCUUGUGUAUCAGGGUUUAUUUAUUAAUAAUUAUAAAUUUAAUUUUCUCGAUUUAAAAAGAGUUAGUAAAAUAUUUAUUUUAAUGUAAAAUUAUUAUUUUUAAUUUUUUAUUAGUAAUGAAACGUUAUUCGAUUUUUAAUAUAUCUAGUUUUUUAAGAAAUGAAUUUAAUUUAUUUAUUAAAAUUUAUAAAUUUAAAUUUUAAAUUUUUUAAUUUUAAUAUUAAAAAUGUUUAGGGAAAAGCUUAAAUAUUUAAAUUUAAAAAAUAGUAAGAUUUUAUAAAUUAUAGGAUUAGAAAUUUCCAUUAUUAAUAAUUUGUUAAAAUUAAUUUUAUAUUAUAUAUUAUUUUUAUAUAUUUUUAAGUUUUUUAUUAAAAAUUUUUAAUUAAUAUUUAAUUAAAAAUUAUAAUGAUAAAAUUAGUAUAUGAUUAAUGUAUGUUUAAUUUUUAAAAAUUCAGAUUAUUUAAAGGAAUUCGGCAAAAUUAUAUUAUUCGCCUGUUUACUAAAAACAUGUCUUAUUGAUUAUAAUUUUAAGUCUAAUCUGCCCAAUGAAAUUUUAAAUGGCUGCAGUAUUUUAACUGUACAAAGGUAGCAUAAUAAUUAGUCUCUUAAUUAGAGACUAGAAUGAAUGAUUGAACGAGAUAAUAACUGUCUCUAUUUAAUUUUUAGAAUUUUAUUUUUAAGUUAAAAAGCUUAAAUAAUUUUAAAAGACGAGAAGACCCUAUAGAGUUUAAUAUUUUUAGAUAAUUUAUUUUUUAGAUAAUUUAUUAAUAAAUUUUUUUAAAAAUAUUUAAUUGGGGUGAUUAAAAAAUUAAAUUAACUUUUUUUAUUUGUUAACAUAAAUUAAUGAUUAAUUGAUCCAAUUUUAUUGAUUAUAAGAUUAAAUUACCUUAGGGAUAACAGCGUAAUUUUUUUAGAGAGUUCAUAUCGAAAAAAAAGAUUGCGACCUCGAUGUUGGAUUAAAAUUAAUUUUUGGCGUAGAAGUUAGAAAAUUAGGUCUGUUCGACCUUUAAAAUUUUACAUGAUCUGAGUUUAAAUCGGCGUGAGCCAGGUUGGUUUCUAUCUUUAAAAAUUUAAAAUAUUUUAGUACGAAAGGACCAAAUAUUUAUAAAAAUUAUUAAUUUUAUGAAUAAUAUUAAUUGUUACUUUGGCAGAAUAGUGCUUUAAAUUUAGAAUUUAAAUAU
rnacentral:rRNA from 1 species